rnacentral:tRNA from 1 species
GCCCGGGUGGUGAAAUGGUAUACACUCACGACUUAAAAUCGUGCGCCCACAAGGCAUGCGGGUUCGAGUCCCGCCCCGGGCACCA